ACACUGAAUGGAGGACCGAACCGACUUACGUUGAAAAGUGAGCGGAUGAACUGAGGGAAGCGGAGAAAUUCCAAUCGAACUUGGAGAUAGCUGGUUCUCUCCGAAAUAGCUUUAGGGCUAGCCUCAAGUGAUGAUUAUUGGAGGUAGAGCACUGUUUGGACGAGGGGCCCCUCUCGGGUUACCGAAUUCAGACAAACUCCGAAUGCCAAUUAAUUUAACUUGGGAGUCAGAACAUGGGUGAUAAGGUCCGUGUUCGAAAGGGAAACAGCCCAGACCACCAGCUAAGGUCCCAAAAUAUAUGUUAAGUGGAAAAGGAUGUGGCGUUGCCCAGACAACUAGGAUGUUGGCUUAGAAGCAGCCAUCAUUUAAAGAGUGCGUAAUAGCUCACUAGUCGAGUGACACUGCGCCGAAAAUGUACCGGGGCUAAACAUAUUACCGAAGCUGUGGAUUGUCCUUUGGACAAUGGUAGGAGAGCGUUCUAAGGGCGUCGAAGCAUGAUCGCAAGGACAUGUGGAGCGCUUAGAAGUGAGAAUGCCGGUGUGAGUAGCGAAAGACGGGUGAGAAUCCCGUCCACCGAUUGACUAAGGUUUCCAGAGGAAGGCUCGUCCGCUCUGGGUUAGUCGGGUCCUAAGCUGAGGCCGACAGGCGUAGGCGAUGGAUAACAGGUUGAUAUUCCUGUACCACCUAGUAUCGUUUUAAUCGAUGGGGGGACGCAGUAGGAUAGGCG
rnacentral:rRNA from 1 species